rnacentral:rRNA from 1 species
AUACAGAGGGUGCGAGCGUUAAUCGGAAUUACUGGGCGUAAAGGGUGCGUAGGCGGCUUGAUAAGUCGGAUGUGAAAGCCCCGGGCUUAACCUGGGAAUUGCAUUCGAUACUGUCAGGCUAGAGUAUGUCAGAGGUUGGCGGAAUUCCUAGUGUAGCGGUGAAAUGCGUAGAUAUCAGGAGGAACACCAGUGGCGAAGGCGGCUAACUGGGGCAAUACUGACGCUGAGGCACGAAAGCGUGGGGAGCAAACAGGAUUAGAAACCCUAGUAGUCC